UACGAAGGGGGCUAGCGUUGCUCGGAAUCACUGGGCGUAAAGCGCACGUAGGCGGGUCUUUAAGUCAGGGGGGAAAUCCUGGAGCUCAACUCCAGAACUGCCUUUGAUACUGAGGAUCUUGAGUCCGGGAGAGGUGAGUGGAACUGCGAGUGUAGAGGUGAAAUUCGUAGAUAUUCGCAAGAACACCAGUGGCGAAGGCGGCUCACUGGCCCGGUACUGACGCUGAGGUGCGAAAGCGUGGGGAGCAAACAGG
rnacentral:rRNA from 1 species